UUCCGGUUCCGGGAGGUGCCACGGUGUCAGCUGGGAGCAGUCUGGGAAUCCAGUCAGAUGGGUGAGGCCACGACUUGAGACACUGAACUCAGCUGCUCCCUCCUCAGCUUGUAGGCCUGAUUCUGGAGUGGAAGAUGUUGGGAACACAGAGGAGCUGCUGGGAUUGCGGGUGGCCCUGCUGUGGCUGCUGCUGCUUUAAAAACAUCUGAAAAUGCUUCCAGGGCUCUGAGGAGCUGCCUCCCCCACCUCCAGCUCCUGGACAUGAACUAGGACACAAUCAUGGGUCUGGGACCCGAGCUCCUGUGGCUGCUGCUGCCCCACCGCCCCCCAUCUGACAUCCCUGCCAGGGGGGUUAGCAGCGGCCUUCCCCACCUCCAGCUCGUGGACAAGAGCAGGGAGCAGCUCAUGGCGCUGGAAUCUAAGCUGCUGACUCACAGCAGCCUGAGCAUGCUGAUGGACAGGAACAACAGGCUUGACAACACAGGCUUGCUGCUGGAGGGACUCGACCAGUCUCCACUCUGUCUCAGACUCCAGCUCUGCCUCACACAGCUCCACAUCCCAGAGUUUGUCUGAAUCAGAAGAUACAGCCAGUGAUCCUGCACACAGAGUACAGAAUGUUCUUCUUGGUUUACAGCAUUGGGUGUACACAAACGAAAGCAAAGCAAAGAUGAUUAUAAAAGAAAAUGGAACCUGAGUUUGAUUAUAAAGCUCAGUGGUUUCAGCUUGAAUCUCCAUGUAAGAGUUGCAAAGGUUUGAAAGGUUUUGUAUUUCAUGUAUCUCUUCUGCAUUAUUUAAUCCAGUUUACUGUUUAGAUUCUUUGAAUAUAAUUUAUGCUAAAUUGCAUUUCAAAAUGUGGCUGGUUGGUCAUAAUUUUCACUUAAGUCUUUGAUGAGAAACUAACAGAAUGGUAUAUUUGCUUGAUGAGUCAUAAUCAGCCUAGAGUGGUGUCAUAUGCCACAAUUGGGUUAACUAAAGUAAUACAUCAUACUACCAGUGUUCUUUUUUGCCUGAAAUGUAUGCCAUAAAUAGAAUGAGCCUUUGUCAUGGGUCACACCUGAGAUUCAGCCUAUGACUAACUAACAGUAUAUAAAUGAUUAUCACUUUUAAAUGUAAUAUUUAACCUUCAGUUCUUGUUUUGUUUUAUUUUAGUAACUUUAUGCAAUCUGUCUGUGACUUGUUUUCUAGCAGGGAUAUAGAGGCUUAUUAUAGAGAUGGUUUUAGAACAAACUGAAACCUUACACAAUCAAAAACACUUGGGAAUAUAUUUUAGCACACUAGGUAAUCAACUGUAUAUAAAAUCCCGGAAUCCCACAUACCUGCAACUCUUCAUGUAAAAUUUCCUGACCAUGAACUCUGAAGAAUACCUGCCUCUACAUGUUGGUGAUAGCAUUACAGACAUGCAAGACGACCUAUUUACAUUUCAUUUUAACUUCAUUUUGUUAACUGCAAUGAUCUCUUGUAAUCAUGCCCUUGGGAUUUCUGGGAGGCUAGAGUCAUGAUAUAUCAUCUUCCCAGCAGACAGAAUAACUGUUAUUGCCAGAAAAAAUCUAAUGUCUAGUAAUCUAAGAAAGGCUGGUUCUUAACAUCCAACUAAAUGACAGAAAGUUGGACAUGAUAGUGCACACAUACAAACAAGCACUUGGAUGGUAGAGGCAGAAGAUCAGGAGUUCAAAUUUAGCAUAGGCAUGAUAGUAUAGUUGAAGCCAGCCAGAUACAUGUAUCUGAAACCUUGUCUAAAAGUGGGGUUGAAUUUGGGUGGGAUGGAUUGUAUUUUCAAAUGUGUCUCCUUUGCUUGUGUUGUAUACUAAAUGCAAAGUUUCUCUGCAUUUGAUAGAAUAACUACAACUAGAUAUCAUUACAGUUGAAGGUAGUCAGAAGAAAAGCUUGUUGUAUGCACUCGCAAUAGAAUAGUUCACAAAGAUGGUUUUACUACUGAACAUUAAGAAAGUAGUGUUGAUAAAACAGGAAUGAAAAUACUAAAGUACUGUAUCUUUAAAGUGUAGGAGAAAAAUAGUAGCACAAACUAUUGGCAUUGAAAAUUAACAAAAUAUACUAUUGGAUUAUGCAAUAAAAACUAAUAGUAAUAAUUUAAUUGGACAUUACAAAAUAAAUAUUUAACUCUCAAUGCUGAGGAUUAAAAAAAGCACUGUAAUAACAUUAAGACUGGUUGGUAAGAACUAAAGGAAGAUAUAGCUUGAAUUAGGGAGUCAGGUGAGCAUUAAAGCAUGCUUUGUUUGAAUCCAGUUUUAUGCUGAGAACAUUUGCAUGUUGGUUUUCAUAUAUAUAUAUAUAUAUAUGUAUGUAUGUAUACAAUUUUAUUUUAAAUGUUGAUUUUAGGAGGUUAUAUUAGUAGUCUAUAUGGUAAUUCAGGUUUUGUGUGUGUUUUUGUUAUUUCAUGAAACAGGAGUUUCAUGACUGCAGUUGUGAAACGCUGCUAUAGUGAGUCCCCUUACCUUUUCCUCAGAAUAGUUUAGUAAGAUCAUUUUUACUUCUCUUUUUUUUGAGAUUUUUUUUCUGUGUUUACAAAAGUAAUGUUUCUUCUGCUAAUGUAUUUUAUGAUAGUACUUAUAAAGUUGUUUUUUUUUUCACACUGAGCAACAUUAAGCUGCCUAUUCCAAGAUUAGGAAAGGCACAGAUGACUUGGUGGGUUCUCAUGUAUCAAACUGUAAAUAUUUUGUAAUUAGAUGACUUCAGUUAAGCAACAUAGAAUGUUUUCAUGGAAAACAUUCAGAAUGAUGGGGCCGUACACUCCUGGAUUAAAUCCUGUAGUUUCUUGAUUGAUUAAUACCCUGACCUAAGUAACAACAUGUGUAGUCUUUUAGGAAUUACUUGUAAAUAGAGCAUCUAACCAUGCAUACACUUUCCAGCCUCAUAGAAAGAGGUGUAAUGUUUCUUCUUUCAUAGAUGUAUAUAUUCCAGCCUGUGAUAUGCAAAUGCACCCUAUGGUGGUCUUUCAAAAAGUGUUUAUUUUGGUUUUUUAUGUGUGUAAUUAAACUCUUUGUAUAGCAUGACAUCAGUAGUUUUGGCAGAGAUGUGGAUUACAAGGACAGAUGCAGUACCUUGUACCUCCUGAGCAAGCUGUAGUCCAAGCUUAUAGUAUAGAUAUUCUUUAGUGCAACCUUCACUGGUAGUUGUUUUAUAUCUCUUUUUGUUUGUUUGUUUGGUUUUAUCUUUUGAAACCAUCUCUGGCCCUAACUUUAACAAAUUCUGCCAAUGAUUUUUAAUUUUUUUCUUUUAUAUACUUUUUCUAUUUUUAAAAACUGACUAUAGACAUUAAUUUGGAGAGAAAGGAAUUAGAUCCCAAGUUAAUAAAAUGUAUUUUAAGUUGCAAGGUUUCUCCCUAGUUACAAAUCCCUUAUUUAUCCACCAGUGAAAUCUAAGACUUUCAGAUUCAGCAAGGGCACAAUUUUCAUAACAUGACUAUUUUAUUUUUGUGAGACAGGGCAGUACUAACCUUGAACUAGACAUGUAGACAACUCUGUCCUUUCUGUAAUACUCGUGCCUGGAAUUCUCAAACAUUGGGAUCACAUGUGUAAACCAUUAGCCCGGUUAAAUAUUUCAUGUAGAAAUAUACCAAUGCUGACUCUUGUUAAAAAUUUGGAUUUCUAAAUUAUCCUUUCCAAAAUACAAAAAAAGUAUACUCUAAAUUGACUUCAAAUAUGUGAAAUUUGUGUAAUAUAAAAAAAAGUAGUCUUCAUUAGGACAAGACCUUAUUGCAGAGUAGUUCCAACAAAGAGUGGAAAUACAGGGUUAAAUUGAUGACUCAUGAAGAGACUUGCUGAAAUGCUAAGUAAAGUAAAUCACUAAAGGCAGCAAAGUGUAAUAGAAGUCAUUUGCCAGGGAAUCCAAAGAUCUAAUAAAGCUCUGUAGAGUAAUAAGGAUUUUCUUAAAUUGAUUCACCAAAUUUCCUCCUACUAACAUCUGAAAUACUUAUCAAUACGUUUAUGGCUGCCAGUUUUUUAUUGAGUACACCCUGCUAUUCUGUUGCUACCUAGAAAGCAGAGCAAGUUAGCUGUAGGCUUUCUUUUAGUCUUGUUCUUUGCAGAGUUACUAUCAGAAAAUAUUUCUCUUUGGCCUGGUUUAUAUUACAGCAGUGUAACCUUAGUUAAUGUUUAACUUUUGGUUACCUUUUAAAUAAAUUACACAUUAAAUUUUGGUAGUAGCUAUUUAACUAAAAACGUAUGAUUAAUCUUUAAGUUUCAAUGUGAGUGUUUGCAGAUACAAUAUUACCAAUAAAAGUAUAUGUAUAGGUCAUCAGGUGAUCAUUUAAAGGGUGCUUUGUUAGAACGCAGUUGUAUGCUGAGAAUAUUUGCAUGUUAGGUUUAUUAUGUGUAUAUAAUCUUUAUUUUAGUUUCUUAUUUUAGGAGAUUAUAUUAGUAGACUAUAUUGUAAUUUAUAUUUUGUGUAUCCUUAUGUUAUUUCAUGAAACAGGAGUUUCAUGACUGCAGUUGUGAAACGCUGCUAUAGUGAGUCCCCUUACCUUUUCCUCAGAAUAGUAAGAUCAUUUUUACUUUUCUUUAGGGAUUUUUUUCUGUGUUUAUAAAAGUGAUGUUUCUACUGCUAAUGUAAUUUUAUGAUUGUAGUUAUAAAGUUGUUUUUUUUCACACUGAGCAACAUCAAGCUGCCUAUUCCAAGCUUAGGAAAGGCACAGAUGACUUAACGGGUUCCCACGUAUCAAACUGUAAAUAAUUUUGUAAUUAUAUGAUUUUAGUUAAGCAACAUAGAAUGUUUUCAUGGAAAACAUUCAGAAUGAUGGGGCCAUACACUCCUGGAUUAAAUCCUGUAGUUUCUUGAUUGAUAGUCAUCCUUACCUAAGUAAUAACAUGUGUGGUCUUCUAGGGAUUACUUGUAAAUAGAGCAUCUAAACAUACCUACCCUUUCUAGGCUCCUAGGCAUAGCUAUAUUGUUUAUUUUUCUUUCAUAAAUGUAAAUAUUCCAUCCUAUGGCAUACAAAUAUUUUAUAUAGUGCUCUUUCAACAAAGUGUUUAUUGUGGAUUUUUAUGCUUAUAAUUUAAACUAUGUAAAUAGUGUGCAAAAUAAGAAUUUUGCCAAAAAGGGUGAUUAUAGAGACAGAUCAAGGUUGUUGUACUUGUUGAGAAAGCUGCAUUCUAUGCCUAACAUUGAUCGGUUUUAAUGAAAUCAUCAUUGUUAGCUUUUUUAGGUUUUUUGGUUGUUGUUUUUUCUUUUAUAUUCAUUUUGGCAUUAACAUUCUGCAAAUGAUUGCUAAGUUUUUUUCUCUUUUAAAACACUGUUCAUUUAAAAAAGAACUGAGUAUAGACAUUACUUGAUGUGACCACAAUUGAUCAUCUUGAUAUAUGAUCGCCUUCUUAAGACAUCAUUUUACAUCAAAGUUGAAGAUGGGCAACAAAGAAAGUCGUUGUGGAGUAUGCCUUUGACAUGGCAUGACCAGCCAUUUGGACAAGAAACUUCACUUCCUGGACUGGUGACAGCAAGUUUUCAAAACUGGACAAGAAGGUUACAAAGAAAAGUGACUGCUGAACUUCCCAAAUUUCAGGAUUAUUCUUCAUUAACCUGCUUUAUUAAAAAGACUAUCAGACAUCUGGGCCUAUAAGCUGAAGAGGGAUUCCACAAUUUUGCAGAGGAUGCUUGGGUGACUUUCUAGGCAUCAAGAUCUCUCUGAAAACCUAGAGUUUAUAUAUGACCUUCUGCAGUCUUUGGUGGUGUUGAAGACAAAUAGUUAUGGUUAAGAAUUUCCUUAGUUAUGUAAUAAAUAAGUUGCAUAUAAAGCUUUAAAGUAAAAAAGAUAGGAAAUAUGUAGACUGUUUUCUUUAAAUUUGCCAAAUAUUAACAUACUAAAUAUUGUUAACUGUACUUUUUUGCUUAUUAAGUUUCCUAAUGCAUAAUUGUACCAUUUUAAAUAUAAAUUUCCUUGUUGUUCCAGACACAAAGAGCACAUGAUGUGGGAUGUCCUUCUGUAUGAUGUAACUAUAUGUUUCUCUUCCUUGUUGAGGAAAAACAAUGUGCUGGCCAAAUGCCAGGCAGGAUAUAGCAAGAGAGAAUGUAUAGGCAAUAUAAACUGAGAAAGGAAUCCUGAGAGAGGAACACGUAUUGUAAGUCUUGAGACAGCUCUAAUGUAGCUGCAGGGAAGGUGGGUUGUCUCGUCAUUUUCUGGUAAGCCAAAACAACCUGGAGAUUCACUGAUUAGUUCAAAUGGUUAGUAAUUGGUAGGAACCAGCCAAUGUAGCCUGUGCCAAAGAACAAAUAGCAUAUAUUUUAUAUAACCCUCUGUGUGUUUAUUUGGGACUGUAGUGUGACAGAAUCAAGAUGAACACUAACUUCUGCCUAUACAUUGCUGUUAGUGGAAAAUAUUAUUGAUUUGAUUUGUUUUGUGAACAUGGAUGGUAGAGAAUUCUUUUUCUCACUGUUCACAUGGUCAGCAUUGUGUUCCUGAGUAACAGUGCUGACCUCAGUAAUCGCUUACAAAAUCAUAUGCAUAUUUGCAUUGAGGAUUUUUUUUGCAUCCUGUGCCUAAUUAUUGUUUGCUAGCAACAACACAAUGAGCUACAUAAACAGCCUUAGCUUUUCAUAAAUUUGGGCGUUCAGUACCAACAAAUGUGGCUGAAAAUGUUACUUUUAUUUUGGUCAAAUUAUUAUGUAUGCUUUGACUUCUUUAAUUUUCAGGACCUAAAAUCAUAUGUGAUCCACAUGGCUGUGCAAGUGUAUACAUAAUUAAAAUGUAACUAUGAAUUAUGAAUCAGUGUUGAAAUUUGCUAUUUUGAAAAAAAUAUAUUUCUAUUGUAUCAAGUUAUGUUACAUUGUAAUGAAAAUAUUCUAAGAAGUAUUUUUAAACUAUUCAAAUUCUAGUGUGUCAUUACCAAAAUGACAUGAAAAACCACGGUCUUAUAUUUGCUAUGUAUACCCUCAUGAAUUUUACCCUAAAUGUUGUGCAUUGUCUUAUUAGACUCAAAAAAUCUUACAGAAAUUUACUAAAAAAGUAAUAAAUUAUAUGAGCAUACAUAUUCAAAA